GAUGAACGCUGGCGGCGUGCCUAAUACAUGCAAGUCGAGCGAACAGACGAGGAGCUUGCUCCUCUGACGUUAGCGGCGGGCGGGUGAGUAACACGUGGAUAACCUACCUAUAAGACUGGGAUAACUUCGGGAAACCGGAGCUAAUACCGGAUAAUAUAUUGAACCGCAUGGUUCAAUAGUGAAAGACGGUUUUGCUGUCACUUAUAGAUGGAUCCGCGCCGCAUUAGCUAGUUGGUAAGGUAACGGCUUACCAAGGCAACGAUGCGUAGCCGACCUGAGAGGGUGAUCGGCCACACUGGAACUGAGACACGGUCCAGACUCCUACGGGAGGCAGCAGUAGGGAAUCUUCCGCAAUGGGCGAAAGCCUGACGGAGCAACGCCGCGUGAGUGAUGAAGGUCUUCGGAUCGUAAAACUCUGUUAGUAGGGAAGAACAAAUGUGUAAGUAACUAUGCACGUCUUGACGGUACCUGAUCAGAAAGCCACGGCUAACUACGUG
rnacentral:rRNA from 1 species